CAUUGUUUUCAGUUCUCAGAACGUCUGUGGCUUCACGUGGCCCCACAGAACUGCCUCUGCCAGAGCAAAACGCAUCUCAAGAUCUGAUGCUGAGCAGCACUGCAUCAAUGGAGCCAGAUGAAUUUGCAUCUCAAGAUCUACUUCUGUGCAGCAGCCCCACA